rnacentral:rRNA from 1 species
UACGUAGGCAGCAAGCGUUGUUCGGAGUUACUGGGCGUAAAGGGUGCGUAGGCGGUCCUAUAGUAUGGUGUGAAAUCUCCCGGCUUAACUGGGAGGUGCGCUAUAGACUGUGGGACUAGAGUGUGGGAGAGGAAAGUGGAAUCCUGGUGUAGCGGUGAAAUGCGUAGAUAUCAGGAGGAACACCGGUGGUGUAAACGGCUUUCUGGACCAUAACUGACGUGAGGCACGAAAGCGUGGGUAGCAAACAGG